GACGAACGCUGGCGGCGUGCUUAACACAUGCCAGUCGAACGGAAAGGCCCUGCUUGCAGGGUACUCGAGUGGCGAACGGGUGAGUAACACGUGGGUGAUCUGCCCUGCACUUCGGGAUAAGCCUGGGAAACUGGGUCUAAUACCGGAUAGGAGCCAUUUUUAGUGUGAUGGUUGGAAAGUUUUUUCGGUGUAGGAUGAGCUCGCGGCCUAUCAGCUUGUUGGUGGGGUAAUGGCCUACCAAGGCGGCGACGGGUAGCCGGCCUGAGAGGGUGGACGGCCACAUUGGGACUGAGAUACGGCCCAGACUCCUACGGGAGGCAGCAGUGGGGAAUAUUGCACAAUGGGCGCAAGCCUGAUGCAGCGACGCCGCGUGGGGGAUGACGGCCUUCGGGUUGUAAACUCCUUUCGCUAGGGACGAGGCUUUUUGUGACGGUACCUAGAUAAGAAGCACCGGCUAACUACGUG
rnacentral:rRNA from 1 species